AGAAGAUGAAAAGAGAAUCGAAAACCUCAAAAAAACUAGAAAGAAAGAAAAGAAAAGAAAAGAAAAGAAAAGCUUUUACGUUCACGAGGACAUGAGACGUGUCGUGUAGGACGAAGGUUUUCGUGCGUCAGUAACGUUCAAAAUGUUUGUGCGGGGAGAUGAGAAACCUGGUUCUGAUCCAAGACGCCUUCAGGAAGACAUCAUCGCCCUGCUCGGAGACCAAGUGGGGUUUGUUUUUCUUAAACAACACUAAGAACACGAAGAAUUUGAUCAGCAUGAAGAUCUUCGAACAGUAGGACGUUGUUUUUAUCCCGGGUGGUCGCUGUGCCCCCACUACGCUCUUUGCUUGGCCGCCGCGCCUUCUUAUGUGCAUCUGUCAUGGCCGCCGUGCCACAUGGCCGCCGUGCCUUGAAACUUCUUUCAGCUCAUCAUUUCACAUGUUAGUACAUACUAGUUGAGGUAGGCCUGGCCUGUACAACAUCAAGAAUCAUUGUUCAAUAUGAACCCAUUUUUCUUAUAUUCUAACUUUUUAGGUGUAUCAACGAAAGGGAAGCAUCAUUUUACGACUUUAUUUUGAGAAUGGGGGGGGGGGGGAAAUCCAUAGUUUGACUAAUAGCCAUUCAUCUAAUUUUAACGUUUCACCGUCGUCGAGCAUUUAUUUCGUCGUGGACUGCCAUCCAGCGUUUUGAAUUUCCUCAUUUGACGGACACAUCAUCGCAUUUAUUUCGUCGUGGACUGCCAUCCAGCAUUUUGAAUUUCCUGACUUUCCUGACAUUUUGGUGGAAUGCUCCACGUCGGCUCCCGCUGAUGUACUGGAAAUCUUGUCCAUCCAUGAGGACCCGCCCACUUCAUCCAACAUUCUCCUGGUGAAUCUUGAGAAAAAUGAAUGAUCAGGAACUGUCCUUCAAUCUAAAAUACAGCAUGCAUAUUUUUUUUAGAUUUAAAAAGCAUCUUUGUACUAUGUAUGUAAAAUGGAGUCUGUCACUGAAAAUCCUGUUGAAUUUAUUGCAUAGUAUUUAGCCUGUGCUACUAAAGCAUAAAGGCAAUAAAUGGUUCUAAAUAUGCCCUAACAAUUAACGCAUUUAAUGACCUAAAUAAUAAGGUAAUCAAUUUAUGCAUGUGCCACAAUUGCUGUUUUUGGCAUUGCUGUUUGCAUCUGUCUGUGUCUC